rnacentral:rRNA from 1 species
UACGAACCGUCCGAGCGUUACUCGGAAUCACUGGGCUUAAAGGGCGCGUAGGCCGCGCGGUGGGUGGGAUGUGAAAUCCCCGGGCUCAACCGGGGAAUUGCGUCCGAAACCGCCGUGCUCGAGGGAGACAGAGGUGAGCGGAACUGAUGGUGGAGCGGUGAAAUGCGUUGAUAUCAUCAGGAACACCAGUGGCGAAAGCGGCUCACUGGGUCUUUCCUAACGCUGAGGCACGAAAGCUAGGGGAGCGAACGGG